CUCAUGUUACGAGCCUUCUAUUGGAGAAGCCACACCUUCUCAGCCAGUGCAGACGGUCUUAGGUAAGCGUACUAGACAGAGACCAGUAAGGUACGAGGACUAUACUCCAGCAGCCAAGAAACCAAAGUUCAAGGACCCAGUUACGAUCCUUCCUUUAAAGGUGUUGGAUCAAGAUAUGUUGACAACUUUUAACCGAUGGGUACUCGGUGAGAUUGAUAACAGCAGACCGAGGAAGUUGGAAUGUUGUGAUGGGACCCCUGUUUGGUUCUUGAAGUUGAAGGUGGCAAAAGAAUGGUUGGCAGAAACUCAUCUCGACGCUGCGAAUUAUCUUAUACGGAGACGUCUUUUUGAGUUGCCGAAGACGUACUCCGUGAAAGCCACCGUACUUGA